rnacentral:rRNA from 1 species
GAGUGAGACACGGCCCAGACUCCUACGGGAGGCAGCAGUGGGGAAUAUUGGACUAUGGGCGCAAGCCUGAUCCCGCCAUGCCGCGUGAGUGAUGAAGGCCCUAGGGUUGUAAAGCUCUUUUGUGUGGGAAGAUAAUGACGGUACCGCAAGAAUAAGCCCCGGCUAACUUCGUGCCAGCAGCCGCGGUAAUACGAAGGGGGCUAGCGUUGAUCGGAAUCACUGGGCGUAAAGGGUGCGUAGGCGGGUCUUUAAGUCAGAGGUGAAAUCCCGGAGCUCAACUCCAGAACUGCCUUUGAUACUGAAGAUCUUGAGUUCGGGAGAGGUGAGUGGAACUGCGAGUGUAGCGGUGAAAUUCGUAGAUAUUCGCAAGAACACCAGUGGCGAAGGCGGCUCCCUGGCCCGAUACUGACGCUGAGGCACGAAAGCGUGGGGAGCAAACAGGAUUAGAUACCCUGGUAGUCCACGCCGUAAACGAUGUAAUGCCAGCCGUUAGUGGGUUUACUCACUAGUGGCGCAGCUAACGCUUUAAGCAUUCCGCCUGGGGAGU